AUGGAUGGAUGGAUGGAUGGAUGAAUGGAUGAAUGGAUGAAUGGAUGGGUAGGCAGGCACUUUCCCAUCAGUCCAGGGUACUACUUCCUUGCUCCCUGUCCUCUGCUUUCUCCCCUCAUUGCUGGGGCUGUGAAAACGCAGGUUCUCCAAACCCUGAGCCCUCCAUGAGGUUCCUUCCCCUUCACACCCAUGAUUAGUAAAAUGGCAAAGACAAAGAAGUUGAGUCUCAGAAAUAAAAUUCAAGCAAACAGCCUAAAAUAUUUAAUGAGCACUCUUCUUGCUGGCCCUCUAACUUUUUGUAAAUGCUCCUUUGAUUUAAAGAUCACAGGUUUUUCCAUUUUUAGAGUGCAAAUAUUCAUUCUGAAAUCCUAACAGGAGCUUGAAUUGACCUUUAGCCUGGAAGUCCUUACUGUGCUCAUCCCUGCUCUCUUCUAGGCACAGCAGCUGACAACAGAAACAGGGGAUCCAGGCUCUUUAAUUCAAAGGUGAGAAAACAGGUCAGGACUUAGCAAGGUCCGUGCCCUGCUGACAAGCCAGGGCUUUGGAAGACCAGGGGUGGGAAGUCCCUAAUCAUAGCAGCCUCUUAACCUCCUGUCCUGGAAUGAUGUGCUAACCUGUAGUUGUCUGGAAGCAGGAGCCAAAUCCAGGUCAUGUCUACUUCAGCAUGUCCCAGUGUAAAGCCUGAUACUUUAAGGGCAGGCAUCCGUAUUGUAAGAAAAAUGUACAUACAGAAUUCCAGCCAGAUUUAAUGGCAGCCUCCAAAUGCUGAAUGGAAAGGAGGAACAAACCUCUAUUGCAUAUUUAUAAUUUUCCAUGCUUGGAAAAAAAAAAUCAAACCCUUACAACUGUAAGUCAAUGCUUACCCACUUAAAGUGGCCACCAGGGGAGGGAAGAACUCUGUGGCUUAGCUGCCUGCCCCUGCUCCUCUUCCUCCCCACUCAGGUUGUUCCAAGGGGACUGCAGAAAUGGAUUUAAAGGUGACAUACGUCCCCACAUCCCGGCCAAGCCACAUGUGCUUUCUUAAGAAUCUCCAACAGUCAUUGAAUGAUCAGGGGCAGAUGACCUACGGGAUGCUUUGUUGGACUGACAACUCUGCUCUGUGACAGAGAAAGCAGAAGAAUAGGGUUUUACAACCAGAGUGCUGGAAAUCACAACUCAUGGGAAGGCAAUCAGAAAUGGAAAUAAAACUUCUCUGGAGAGAUUCCCUGAGGGACCAGCAGACUCGCUGGAACACGGGAGUCUCUAUAGCUACUUCUCACUCCAAGGGUUGAUGUAAGAACCUCACAGAUGCAGUAUGGCCUAUAAAAAUGGAUACUGCUCACUGUCUGGCCAACCCCUGCCCCAGAAUGGAAAAAUCCAGCACGUGUUAAAAUAAACUCGGAUCCACCUAGGGAGGAAAAAGAUUAACCUCUGUUUAGUUCCCUGCUUCUCUUCUAAGAUAUUUUAUUCUUUUGCUACAAAUGAUUUAAAAGAAAAAAAAGGUGCUAUGAACCAUAAUCAAGUUGUAAAUAAUACAGGGAAAAUAGGUACGCAAGUUGUUCUUACAAAUAGCUCCUCCCCAUUUCAGGAGGCUCUGGAACUCCUUUCUACCUCCUACCCCACCCCCACCCUCCUUCUCACCCUGGGUGUGGCCACAGUGUAAGAUUAAGUUUAGCAGCCCUGGCCUAAAUCACCUGGAGUUGCAUCCCACCAGGACUCUACUCCUUCCUUUCGAGAUGACCUUGGACAGUUUGCCCAAGCUCUUAAGGGUCCUGCUUUCCUGUCUGCAAAGUGGGGGAGAUGAUAACUGUGUCCUAUCUCCAAGGAUCCCAGGGAGUACUACUAACCUGUGUACAUAGUGCCCCAAAGAGUGCUUGGCACACAGUAGUUGCCUGUUAAAUGCUGACUACGGGUCUCUCUCUUUGGGGAGGAUGACUGAGCUAAGGUUGGGUCCCUCUCAUGAAAGCCAUCCAAUCCCAGGAAUUCUAAAAACUAAACGCCUUCCAUUUUCUGAAUCUGUGUUAUCCCCCUCACCCCAGAGAGGAGAACAGUGGCUUCCUUCAGUAGCCCCAACAUCAGACACUCAGGGCUAAAGCCCAUCUCUCCUUGGGCUCCAAUGCAAAAAGCACCAGCAAAGUGAAAGGUUUCUCUUUGCAUGGUUUCUCCUCUUGGUUUCUAUUGAUCUGUCUACCUCUUUGUAACACGGUAAAUGUUUCAGAAAAUAGUCAUCCUAAAUGUGUUCCUUCCUACGGUCUCAUAAACAGUUAUUCCACCCUACACAAGCUCUAACCACUUACGCCCAUGGUAGCUUUCAAUUAACCGCCCACACAUCUGCAGGAGGGGAGGGGGAAUGUGUUCUGGAAAAUACGCACGUGUGUAUGCAUCCGUACACAAAUACUGCCGCUCCUCCGUAGCUGUUCUCAAGUUGAAAGGGGGCAGUGUCUACGUGUCAGGUGGGCAGGACUCUUAUAAGUCAGGAGGUCCCCAAGAGGCCAUCCUGUCACUGUUGCUCCUAAGCUAUUCUACAGUCACUGAUGAUCCAGAUUGUCUAGGCUAGAGUGAGGUGGACUGCUGUCCCUAUCCAUGUGAAGUAAGCGUGUUGGCUUUAAAAGCUGUGACAGGUAGCUACUCACAGCACAGAUCUGCAGCCGGACUAUCUAGCCUUAAGGGUCAGCGGUGCCAUUUUCUGGCUUUACCCUCCCAAAGCCUUUGGCUACUCUUCUCUAAAGGAAGUUAGAAAAGCAAGCAGUGUCAGCCACCCUGCUUGGUGUUGAAGUGGCCUAGCAGAGCACCAAUAGCUGAUCCCUGUGUUGUAGGUGCUUGUCACCUCUGACCUUUAGCUUCUCUGGGAUUACUGCACAAUCAGAUGGAGUCUCACAAAGUUUUGUCUCAAAUCUUCCGAAGGGCAAACAUCUUGGGAAAGCAAGUUUUUUGUUUUUGGGGGGUUGUUUGUUUGUUUGAUUGUUUUCUGCACAGUUAGCAAACCCAAGACUUAGCCAAGAAGGAGAGAACGGUUCUUCUAGCAUAGCGGGCAGAGUUCAAGUUCAAAGAGCGGGCACUUUGCAGGUCCCUGUGGGCACUGGCCCUCAGGUUCAUUGUAGGCACAUCAUAAGCAUGGCCCAGACAGGAACGUUACUUCCCAACAGUAACAUUGCUGCCCUGGAGGUUCUUACAGGACCCCAGAACCUUCCGUGGCUCCACUUGCCAAUGUGUGAAGGGGCAGGAGUUACCCACCAAUGUAGUUAUGAAGGCAGAGGCAUUGUGGCUGCAGGUGGUAGCCCCAGGUUUCCCCGAGCCUGAGCCUGCAGUGGGAUCCACCUCCUGCAUUGCCUAUUCCUUACUGAAGGGAAAACCCUUUGGCUUCAGGGUAGGCUUCCUCGUAACAGGCUUAUGCAAACAAAAUGGAAACCAUGAACAGAACCAGGCAAAACAAACCAUUCCUUUCCUGGGCAUGACAACAAAAAGCACCGUUAGAGGCAAGCAUUUAAACAACCCUUCCCCAGUUAUGUCAGACCCGAAACCCUACACCACUCAAGACUGGAGCCUCCACAGUUAUGAAAAUCGAAGCCAGCAAAAUGUGUGGAGUUUCGCAGAUUUCAUUGUACAUUUUUUUCCCCAGAUUCCCCAACUCAUUAUUCUACAGCAAUAUCUGGUAUUUAAGUCAAUUUGCAUAUUGGCUUCUGAGCAAAAUGGGAGGAAUGGAAAUAUUAAUUUAUAUUUGGUACCAAAUGUACAGAUAACACUUUUUUUUUUCACGGACUAGCUAUCUCAUUUAAUUCUCAAAACAAAACUCUAAGAAUGAAAUAGCAAAUUCCGUUUUAGAGUGAGGUUCGGUAGCUUGCUUGAGAUCACAAAGAUAAAUGAUUUAAAAAAAAGAACUAAGGACCAAAGAUAUCAGUCAUUCUCUCUGCCCCUGUGUGUGUGUGUGUGUGUGUGUGUGUGUGUGUGUGUGAGAGAGAGAGAGAGAGAGAGAGAGAGAGAGAGAGAGAGAGAGAGAAAACACUUGUUUCUUUUUGCUACAUCAAGUGAAAGCAAUUCUACUUUAAGUGUGAGUAUGAGGCAUUUCUGGAAAUACUUUGCAACCCUACCCGUUAUCACCUCGGAUUAGUCCCUGCCUUCCUUUAGGCCUCAGCUUGGUGUCUAUCUAAGUGAGACAGCAUCCUUGACCCACCCUAAGCAAUUCUAGACAAGUCCCUCUUUCUCCCUCUGUUUUGAUGCCAACAUUUCACAGACCUUGAGGGGCUCAAGAAUCUAGCCGAAUUGAUAAACAUGGCCAAGCUUGUGAACGAGAGGAAAAGCUGUCCUCAGCCCGGAGGAGGCCUGAGAUGGCAGUGGAGAAGGGCCAGGAUGAUAUCCGUGAGGCCGCAUGUCAGGCCAUACUGUUGGCCACCACUCUCAGCCAUCAAAUUAGUCCAAAUAACUCGAGCUUUACCUUGUGCUAAUUCCCACGUCCCCUUGCCCCUGGGACCAAUCAGCAAUCUUCUGAUGCUUCUGCCACUGUGCACAGUACAGCAUUACUGUGUGUACUUAACGAGAUUACCCCGGUGCAAAGGGUGGUGUGUCAUUCACAGUCAAGCUCCAGGUGGCCAGCCCCUGUUUGGCUCAUAGAGUCACUGGAUGCAUUCUGAAGGAAUGGGACACUUCCUCACCCAAAGCCUCCAAACAAGGGACAGCAGUGUGUGUCACAGUCCCUCACAGAGGACCCACUCCAGUAAGAAUCGGAGGCAUUUUAAUAGAUUGGCUACGGCAGCAGAGGCGCGACGAGAAACAGCUGUGCCCAGUUGUCUAUGGAACCGGAGAAGCCUGUCUCCUCCUUGUUGGGGGCCCUCGCUACACUUAAGGAAGACAACAGAGAGCAUCAGAGAAAACCACAACAGGUCAAAACGCAGAGAACUGCUGAUCGUGCGGUGGCCAGCCCCAGUGAGUAUAUCUGCAACACUCUGCACAUAAGGCUCAGGGAACAGAAGAGGGCCUGGAGAAAUUAUAAGAGCCAGAGGACCAGGAAAUCUGCCGUGAGAUUGUGUCUCCUAGGAAUUGACAGGGAAGCAUCACCCAUGAUCCCUCAACGUGACUGCCUAAACAAGAGACCUGAACAAGUGUAACAGCAAUGAACAUGCUAACAUGCGGGGGAGAGGGGGUAGAUCUCACAGGCCCCACCCCUAGAGCAAGAAUGACAGGCAAGGAAGAAAUGCUGAAAGCAGGCAAAAGUCUCCCCUAAGGACCAGCCCUGUAAUUGGUUAUCCUUAUAUAACAAGAACAAUUACAGAAAACAAUAAAUAGGCCAUGAACUUGAAAGCAAGGGAAUGGGGGGCAAGGUGGGGGUUAGGAUAGGAAAGGGGAGGGAGGAAUGGUAUGAUUAUAUUUUAAUUUAAAACAAUUAAAAACUGAGGGAGAAACAGAGAACAGUCCACAGGGACAUUAACUAGGGGGAAAAAAACAGAAAACAAAACAACAAUUAAAACAAUGACUCAGCACUGAUGCAGUGAAACACGGGAAUCAGUAGACAUGGGUGUGGAUGUGACGUGACCUGUGUUAUUCUCGGGAUAUGGGCCUGCAAGCUGGUACAACCACUCUGGAAAUCAGUCUGGAGGUUCCUCAGAAAAUUGGACAUUGCACUACCUGAGGA
rnacentral:sRNA from 1 species